rnacentral:rRNA from 1 species
UACGUAGGGUGCGAGCGUUAAUCGGAAUUACUGGGCGUAAAGCGUGCGCAGGCGGUUUUGUAAGUCAGAUGUGAAAGCCCCGGGCUCAACCUGGGAAUGGCAUUUGGGACUGCAAGGCUGGAGUUUGGCAGAGGAGACUGGAAUUCCUGGUGUAGCAGUGAAAUGCGUAGAUAUCAGGAGGAAUACCGAUGGCGAAGGCAGGUCUCUGGGCUAUAACUGACGCUCAUGCACGAAAGCGUGGGGAGCAAACAGG